GACGAACGCUGGCGGCGUGCCUAAUACAUGCAAGUUGAGCGCUGAAGGUUGGUACUUGUACCAACUGGAUGAGCAGCGAACGGGUGAGUAACGCGUGGGGAAUCUGCCUUUGAGCGGGGGACAACAUUUGGAAACGAAUGCUAAUACCGCAUAAUAACUUUAAACACAAGUUUUAAUAUUGAAAGAUGCAAUUGCAUCACUCAAAGGUGAUCCCGCGUUGUAUUAGGUAGGUGGUGAGGGAAAGGCUCACCCAGGGGAUGGUACAUAACCGGCCUGAGAAGGUGGACGGCCCACUUGGGACCGGGAACAGGCCCCAACUCCUACGGGAGGGCACAGGAGGGAAUCUUCGGCAAAGGGCGGAAGUCUGAACGGGCAAAGCCGCGUGAGUGGAGAAGGGUCUCCGAUCGUAAAACUCUUUUGAUAGGGGAGGACGUUAGUGAGAGUGGAAUGCGCAUCAAGUGACGGUAACUAAUCAGAAAGCGACGGCUAACUACGUG
rnacentral:rRNA from 1 species